UUGAUCCCAGAUCACACUUCCUGUGGGAUCAUCCCAGCUGGCAGCUGCAUUACAGACCCUUUCUCCUGACGUUGUGUCAUUCAAUGCCUCGCUACAGUGUGUCACGUGACCUGCUCUCAUAUCACUCAGAGCUGUGUACGGUACGAGAGAGCAAUCGAGGGAUUUCAGCGACAAAGCGUUGCUUUCAGAUUCCCCUGGCUGAGCUGGUGUCCUCCCUGGCACCAAAUGAAGGAGUCUUUGUUGCGAGAGAGACGGGUGGUGUUCUGUUAAGUCGACAGAUAAAUCCUAACGGACGGAGACAAAAGAGUACCUGCGGAGGGGUAACCUACCCUGAACAGCCCCAUGUUUCCAUCGUCAAGCUCCAGGAUGUAUCCGUCCACGGCGAUGGUGGAGAGCGGUGGCUGUUUCCAUGACAACGUGGCGCUGUUGUUCUGAGUGCAGCAUUCCUCCAGCUGGAGCAUGGGAGCAGCUGGGACUGAGGAGGGGAAAACACAGUCCAGCUGGUGGAUGGUCUGCAGGAGGGGUCCGCUGUCCAGAGUGAGGUCGAAGUCGCUGGUCAUCCUGGGGGUGAGCGUUCC